AAUGGGCGAAAGCCUGACGCAGCGACGCCGCGUGAGGGACGACGGCCUUCGGGUUGUAAACCUCUUUCAGCAGGGAAGAAGCGAAAGUGACGGUACCUGCAGAAGAAGCACCGGCUAACUACGUGCCAGCAGCCGCGGUAAUACGUAGGGUGCAAGCGUUGUCCGGAUUUAUUGGGCGUAAAGAGCUCGUAGGCGGUCUGUCACGUCGGAUGUGAAAACCCGGGGCUUAACUCCGGGCCUGCAUUCGAUACGGGCAGACUAGAGUGUGGUAGGGGAGACUGGAACUCCUGGUGUAGCGGUGAAAUGCGCAGAUAUCAGGAAGAACACCGGUGGCGAAGGCGGGUCUCUGGGCCACUACUGACGCUGAGGAGCGAAAGCGUGGGGAGCAAA
rnacentral:rRNA from 1 species